rnacentral:rRNA from 1 species
UACGUUUGGUGCGAGCGUUGUCCGGAUUUACUGGGCGUGAAGGGGGCGCAGGCGGCGCGCCAAGCCCGAUGUGAAAGCCCGGGGCUCAACCCCGGGACUGCAUUGGGAACUGGCGUGCUGGAGUGCCGGAGGGGCAGGCGGAAUUCCUGGUGUAGCGGUGAAAUGCGUAGAUAUCAGGAGGAACACCGGUGGCGAAGGCGGCCUGCUGGACGGAUACUGACGCUGAGGCCCGAAAGCAUGGGGAGCGAACAGG